GAAAAAUGAAGAUAAUUUCAUUCCUUCUUAUUACAGUGAAGACUUCAGAUCCAACUCUGAUUUCACUCUAAUU
ensembl:snoRNA